rnacentral:rRNA from 1 species
UGCCAGCCGCCGCGGUAACACGGGGGGCGCAAGCGUUGUUCGGAAUUACUGGGCGUAAAGCGCACGUAGGCGGACUUUUAAGUCAGAUGUGAAAUCCCAAGGCUCAACCCUGGACGUGCAUUUGAAACAGCAAGACUUGAAUACUGGAGAGGAAAGCGGAAUUCCUGGUGUAGAGGUGAAAUUCGUAGAUAUCAGGAGGAACACCGAUGGCGAAGGCAGCUUUCUGGACAGAUAUUGACGCUGAGGCGCGAAGGCGUGGGUAGCGAACGGGAUUAGAUA